UACGUAGGGUGCGAGCGUUAAUCGGAAUUACUGGGCGUAAAGCGUGCGCAGGCGGGCUUUUAAGCCAGACGUGAAAUCCCCGGGCUUAACCUGGGAAUGGCGUUUGGGACUGGGAGUCUGGAGUGCGGCAGAGGAGACUGGAAUUCCUGGUGUAGCAGUGAAAUGCGUAGAUAGUGAUAGGAAGGCCAACGACGAAGGUAAUCUUCUGGACUAAUACUGACGCUGAGGCGCGAAAGCUAGGGGAGCAAACAGG
rnacentral:rRNA from 1 species